rnacentral:rRNA from 1 species
UUGUCUCAAAGAUUAAGCCAUGCAUGUCUCAGUACGAGCCACAUUAAGGUGAAACCGCGAAAGGCUCAUUAAAUCAGUUAUGGUUCCUUAGAUCGUACCCACAUUUACUUGGAUAACUGUGGUAAUUCUAGAGCUAAUACAUGCAGAUAGAGCUCCGACCGGAGACGGAAGGAGUGCUUUUAUUAGAACAAAACCAAUCGGCGGCGGGCGCGUUCGCGUGUCCGUUCGCCGCUCUACCUGGUGAAUCUGAAUAACUUUCAGCUGAUCGCACGGUCUCGCACCGGCGACGCAUCUUUCAAAUGUCUGCCUUAUCAACUGUCGAUGGUAGGUUCUGCGCCUACCAUGGUCGUAACGGGUAACGGGGAAUCAGGGUUCGAUUCCGGAGAGGGAGCCUGAGAAACGGCUACCACAUCCAAGGAAGGCAGCAGGCGCGCAAAUUACCCACUCCCGGCACGGGGAGGUAGUGACGAAAAAUAACGAUACGGGACUCAUCCGAGGCCCCGUAAUCGGAAUGAGUACACUUUAAAUCCUUUAACGAGGACCCAUUGGAGGGCAAGUCUGGUGCCAGCAGCCGCGGUAAUUCCAGCUCCAAUAGCGUA